rnacentral:rRNA from 1 species
AAUCUCUUCUUAGAGUCGGGUUGCUUGAUAGUGCAGCCCUAAGUGAGUGGUAAACUCCAUCUAAGGCUUAAUAUGACCACGAGACGGAUAGCGAACAAGUACCGAGAGGAAAAGUUGAAAAGAACUUUGAAGAGAGAGUUCAAGAGUACGUGAAACCGUUCAGGGGUAAACCUGAGAAUUCCGAAAGGUCGAACGUGGAGAUUCAUUCUCGACCGAAUGGCGGAGCAGCAUGCGGGUGUGACGGAGGCGUGCAAACGCUGACCGCGCCCCGCGAGCAGCAAGCCAUUGUCGGUUGUGUGCACUUCUUCCCUAGUAGGACGUCGCGAUCCGUUGAUUGCCGGUCUACGGUCCGUAGUGAAGCCCGCGAGCGCGUUUCGGCGUCGCUUGCGGACACUCGGUAACCGACCAGUCCUGUCGACGGUUGACCGAUGGCGAGGAGCCGUGACUCGGUUCGCGUUCGGCCCUCGGCAAGUUCGUCAGUCGUUAAUGGAAAUCGGACAAUGCGCCAAUUCCGUUCGCUGACGGCUGUUCGCCGGGGCGUUUUUGAACAGAGCUCACGCUCAUCUGCGACGCUAUAGCUUUGGGUACUUUCAGGACCCGUCUUGAAACACGGACCAAGGGGUCCAGCAUGUGCGCGAGUCAUUGGGAUAACACUAAACCUAAAGGCGCAAUGAAAGUAAAGGUUCGCCAUGCGCGAACUGAGAGAAGAUGGGCGGUUUAAAAUGCCGCCCCGCAUUCCUGGGGCGUCUCGUUCUCAUUGCGAGAAGAGGCGCACCAAGAGCGUACACGCUGGGACCCGAAAGAUGGUGAACUAUGCCUGGUCAGGACGAAGUCAGGGGAAACCCUGAUGGAGGUCCGUAGCGAUUCUGACGUGCAAAUCGAUCGUCGGAACUGGGUAUAGGGGCGAAAGACUAAUCGAACCAUCUAGUAGCUGGUUCCCUCCGAAGUUUCCCUCAGGAUAGCUGGCGCUCAUUGCAUUCGAGUCUCAUCUGGUAAAGCGAAUGAUUAGAGGCAUUGGGGUCGAAACGACCUCAACCUAUUCUCAAACUUUAAAUGGGUGAGAUCUCCGGCUUGCUUGAAUGUGAAGCCGCGAGAUUUCGGAUCAGAGUGCCAAGUGGGCCAUUUUUGGUAAGCAGAACUGGCGCUGUGGGAUGAACCAAACGCCGAGUUAAAGCGCCUAAAUCGACGCUUAUGGGACACCAUGAAAGGCGUUGGUAACUUAAGACAGCAGGACGGUGGCCAUGGAAGUCGGAAUCCGCCAAGGAGUGUGUAACAACUCACCUGCCGAAGUUACUAGCCCUGAAAAUGGAUGGCGCUGAAGCGUCGUGCUUAUACUCGGCCGUCAGAGGCAUGUGCGGUCGUCUCGUACGGCCAUGAAGCCCUGAUGAGUAGGAGGGUCGCGAAGGUGUGCGUAGAAGGGCUGGCCGUGAGGCCGUCUGGAGCCGCCUUCGGUGCAGAUCUUGGUGGUAGUAGCAAAUACUCCAGCGAGGACCUGGAGAGCUGAGGUGGAGAAGGGUUUCGUGUGAACAGCCGUUGCACACGAGUCAGUCGAUCCUAAGCCCUAGGCGAAAGCCGAUGUUGAUGUGGCGUUGUAAAUCGCAUGACGGAAGCGCUAGGAAGAUCUCGUAUCUUUAACGCUUAAUCAAGCUAUGAUUGCACGCUCGUCGGGCGAAAGGGAAUCCGGUUCAUAUUCCGGAACCCGGCGACGGAUCCGCAAUUAAAUCGGGCCCUCAUCUGAGAGUUCGUCGGGGUAACCCAAAAGGACCCGGAGACGCCGUCGAGAGAUCCGGGAAGAGUUUUCUUUUCUGCAUAAGCGUUCGAGUUCCAUGGAAUCCUCUAGCAGGGAGAUAUGGUUUGGAACGCGAAGAGCACCGCACUUGCGGCGGUGUCCGGAUCAUCUCCUCGGACCUUGAAAAUCCGGGAGAGGGCCACGAAAUGCGUCGCGCCGGCUCGUACCCAUAUCCGCAGCUGGUCUCC